UACGUAGGGCGCAAGCGUUGUCCGGAAUUAUUGGGCGUAAAGAGCUCGUAGGCGGUUUGUCGCGUCUGCUGUGAAAACCUAAGGCUCAACCUUGGGCUUGCAGUGGGUACGGGCAGACUAGAGUGCGGUAGGGGUGACUGGAAUUCCUGGUGUAGCAGUGAAAUGCGUAGAUAUCAGGAGGAAUACCGAUGGCGAAGGCAGGUCUCUGGGCUAGAACUGACGCUCAUGCACGAAAGCGUGGGGAGCAAACAGG
rnacentral:rRNA from 1 species